rnacentral:lncRNA from 1 species
UUAAAAAUCAGAGGUGUAGCUUCUUCCUAAAAACAAAUAUUUGUCGCCACAGGUGACACAAGAUGAAUGCUGAAUCCUAGAAAAAUGGUCAGAAGAGGGACCAGAGUUCAGCCUGUCUGAUCUGGGAUGUGAAUGGACCCCUUGCACCUUCUGACAUACUGGGAGGUGAUAAAUAAGGUGAAUGAAAUUGUAAACAAGAAGCUCAUGUUGGCUCACUAUAACUGUAUGUAGACAUCUGGGCUGGAAAUGUGGGAAAAUUGUAAAGAAUUUGGAAAGGUUCAAAGGCUCAGGUUAUUAAAGUUUUAAUAAUCUUCUUUUCUGCAGGGCUAACCCCCUGCUAUUCUUUCAAUGUAGGAGAAAAACAAAAUAUGGACAAAACUGUAGUUAAUUAGAAUCUAGUCUUCCUUGAAAAACCUAUAGAAAUUGCUUGGAAUUUUUAUAGUGGCUAAGAGUUGGGAGGUAUGGGUUUGAAAAGAUGCAACUUAAUUUUCAUUUAAGGAAUAUGGAAGAUUUUAGUUAGGUUUUAAUGAAAUAGAAUAUAUAUAUUCAAAAUGUUUACCACUUAGUUAAUAUAAUUGGUUGGAAAACACUACUUUGCAAGAAUUAUCUAUGAAAAUAAUCUUACUUAGUAUUUUAACUUGUCCUCAUUGAUCAGUCAGAGCAAAACAAAAUAUUUACUGCCCAUAGUAGUGGCAUACUGAAAAUCAAGAGACAUGUCUUUAGUUAAUUACCAAGUUGUCUUAAUUAAAGAAACAACAAUCUCUCAUGCUUGAACUAUGGUAAAAUUGUAAAAGUGAUUUGUCUUCUGAAUAGAAUGCAUUUUAUUUUUGUUGUAGACUUGUAAUGUCAGUGUUGCUAUUUUUCUGUUUGAAAUUAAUUUUCUUUUAAAAGCCUCUUAAAAGUAUAUAGUAAAAAAAAAAGUAUAUAGUAGAGCAAUAUAUAAUGCAGAAUGUAUUUUACUAUACAUUG